rnacentral:rRNA from 1 species
ACACAUGCAGUCGAGCGGAGAUGAGGUGCUUGCACCUUAUCUUAGCGGCGGACGGGUGAGUAAUGCUUAGGAAUCUGCCUAUUAGUGGGGGACAACAUUCCGAAAGGGAUGCUAAUACCGCAUACGUCCUACGGGAGAAAGCAGGGGAUCUUCGGACCUUGCGCUAAUAGAUGAGCCUAAGUCGGAUUAGCUAGUUGGUGGGGUAAAGGCCUACCAAGGCGACGAUCUGUAGCGGGUCUGAGAGGAUGAUCCGCCACACUGGGACUGAGACACGGCCCAGACUCCUACGGGAGGCAGCAGUGGGGAAUAUUGGACAAUGGGGGGAACCCUGAUCCAGCCAUGCCGCGUGUGUGAAGAAGGCCUUAUGGUUGUAAAGCACUUUAAGCGAGGAGGAGGCUACUGAGACUAAUACUCUUGGAUAGUGGACGUUACUCGCAGAAUAAGCGCCGGCUAACUCUGUGCCAGCAGCCGCGGUAAUACAGAGGGUGCGAGCGUUAAUCGGAUUUACUGGGCGUAAAGCGUGCGUAGGCGGCUUUUUAAGUCGGAUGUGAAAUCCCCGAGCUUAACUUGGGAAUUGCAUUCGAUACUGGGAAGCUAGAGUAUGGGAGAGGAUGGUAGAAUUCCAGGUGUAGCGGUGAAAUGCGUAGAGAUCUGGAGGAAUACCGAUGGCGAAGGCAGCCAUCUGGCCUAAUACUGACGCUGAGGUACGAAAGCAUGGGGAGCAAACAGGAUUAGAUACCCUGGUAGUCCAUGCCGUAAACGAUGUCUACUAGCCGUUGGGGCCUUUGAGGCUUUAGUGGCGCAGCUAACGCGAUAAGUAGACCGCCUGGGGAGUACGGUCGCAAGACUAAAACUCAAUGAAUUUGACGGGGGGGCCCGCACAAGCGGUGCAGCAUGUGGUUUAAUUCGAUGCA